CCUACGGGAGGCUGCAGUGAGGAAUAUUGGUCAAUGGACGCAAGUCUGAACCAGCCAUGCCGCGUGCAGGAAGACGGCUCUAUGAGUUGUAAACUGCUUUUGUACGAGGGUAAACGCAGAUACGCGUAUCUGUCUGAAAGUAUCGUACGAAUAAGGAUCGGCUAACUCCGUGCCAGCAGCCGCGGUAAUACGGAGGAUUCAAGCGUUAUCCGGAUGUAUUGGGUUUAAAGGGUGCGUAGGCGGUCGGAUAAGUUAGAGGUGAAAUCCCGAGGCUCAACUUCGGAAUUGCCUCUGAUACUGUUCGGCUAGAGAGUAGUUGCGGUAGGCGGAAUGUAUGGUGUAGCGGUGAAAUGCUUAGAGAUCAUACAGAACACCGAUUGCGAAGGCAGCUUACCAAGCUACUUCUGACGUUGAGGCACGAAAGCGUGGGGAGCGAACAGGAUUAGAUACCCCUGUAGUC
rnacentral:rRNA from 1 species